GGGAGGAUGGCCGAGUGGUUAAGGCGCUGUGUUUAGGUAUCAUUAUCAGUAGGUAUUGAAUCUAAAUCUGAAACCGCAGUGGGAAACCUCGUGGGUUCGAAUCCCACUCCUCUCA